rnacentral:tRNA from 1 species
UAGCCUAGUGGUUAAGGCUAUGGAUCGCCAAUCCGGAAACAGCAGGUUCGAUUCCUGU